AGGGAGGGAGGGAAGGAGGGAGGGAGGCAGGAAGGAGGAAGGAAGACAAACAACAACAGAAAACAUUGAGAAUGGAGGUCUUCCUGUUUCCAGUCCUACAUGCAAGGAGCUUGAACGUUGUCACUCCCAUCCUCACAACAAAGGAAGAGUUGAAAAAACUGAAAGUCAGCAAUUCUUCUCAGAUCCAUCAGAGAACUCAGGUGACAGGGCAAACUGCUGCCCCCAAAACUGAUGAGACAGCCAGGUGGACACAAGGAAUCACAGCUCACUGGAGCAGAAUCCCAGGAGGAGAAAACUCCACCAGAAGCAGUGCCAAGAAAUGAAUUCCCUUCUGAAGUCAUCUCUGCCAACUCACAGUGGGCACCAUUCAUCCCCAGCUGAGAAUCAAUACGCUUACAGACACAGCCUCAUCAUCUUCACAACCCUUUCUAUUUUUUAAUCAUCCACGUGCUGAGCACUGAGACAUGCACUAUACACAUGUUAUUUCUAAGCUUCAAAACAACUCUACUAAGGAAGCAUCAUUGUCCGUAUUUUGUAGAUGAAGAAACCGAGGCUCAAAAAAAUAAUGUGCUUCAUCCAGCUGGUAAGUGACUCAGCCAUGAUUUGAACCCAGGAUGUAACAGACUCCAAAACCUUUGUUAAUCCAGCUUCCAUCUUGCCUUUUGACCAUUUUUUUUUUCUCUAAUCAGCAGCAGUCUCCUCAUGCAUCCCAAACUUUGUUCACUGCUGUAUCAGGCACAACUCUCCUGAGAGUGGUGCAUAAGCCUGGUCUGAUGGUUCCUUGGUUAAGAAGCAGACUCACUAGACUUUCUGAUAAUCACACAGAAGUCAUGCUUACUACCUCUUGGCUUAUAGCUGACAAUUUCCUCCGUACACUGUAACUGAUACCGCUGCAUUCUUUUUCUUUCUCAGACAUGAUUCCUUCAGUGCCUUGCUAAUUGCCUCCAGCCUAUCCUUGGUGCUUGCAAUUCCAAACACUCCUUUAAAAACAAAUUAGGUAAAUCUCCCUCUUGCCCACUGUGCAUUUUCUGUCAUUGUCCUUGGAGUAAUGAACUUUCCCUGGGCUUAUGAAAAAAAAAAAGCAUGGAAGUUGAAAAUAUCCAGUUUAAUGUAGCAGGGGGAUAGUUCUGAUUGAUCAACCAAAUGCUUCUUUAUCCCCCAAAUUAGCAUUUCAAAAAUUUCUGCCACAUCUCAUUUUCCUGAGUCUUAACAGGCUAAAACAGCAAAUGGGCAAAUGUUGCAAUUUUCUAACUGAGAUGAUCACCCUGACACAGGCUUAGGUUUGAAUAUGUCUGUGCACAUGCGGAUGUGUAUGCGUUGAGAUGUGUUCUGUGGAUAUGUGUGUGAAGGGGUGCUUCAGAACAUGUGGUUACUCCAUACCUACUCCCAGUAGACUUGGCCUCCUGAGGUCUCCAAAAACAUGGAGAACCAAAGACCUUUAAACUACAAAUUAACUGCUGACCCCAAGUCUCCUAGCUGAAUGAAAAGUGGGAUAGCACUGGCUCAACCCAGCUCAAUGACGUGAGUUUUUACAAAAUAUUUGGACAUUGAGCUCCUCUCCACACUACCUUAUCUUCCUACACCCACCUCCACCUCUACACUCAGAGCCACCUAUACUCUAUAAUAAACAGGACCUAUUACCAGAGCUUAAAACAUGAGGUGGGCUCCCAGCGGGGAGGUAUCUUUUCUUGGGGACAUUCACACACACUGGCAAACCAGUGCUUGGAAUUAGGACCCAUCCCCUCCUAGAUUUUUAUGACCAGAGUCAAGUUUCCUACCCCAGACAAAGAGCAAAGUUCCCGACCCUGAACAGUGCCACUCUCACCCACCAUACCUUAUCACAAAUGAGAGGAACAGGAUGCAGAGACAUGGGUCUCAAAGUGGCAGCCCUGGGACACUGAGAGUGGAAGAUGCCACAUGAGAAAAGAAAGGAAGAAGAGGUUAGGUGGCUGAUAAACCUGGAAAGGAAUCCUGGAAUGGGAGUCCGCUCUGGUGGUUCACAGAGUACAUUAGUCCUACAAAGGCUCUGAGGAAUUCUGUGAUAAAGAAACCUGUUUAACUGGAUUCAAUCCAAAUUUAUUUGGCUGCACAAUGGUCUUUUCUGCAUAACUUCACUUAGACUCCUGCAGAACUAACGUUCCCCUGAGCAGUUUGGCGGAAAUGCUAUUCUAAGUUAAAAGGAAAUGAAGGCUGUUUCUGUCAAGGAAUUAUCUCUCACAAAGGAAACAUUUAAAGAAAAUGAAAAGAGAGAGAGAGAGACAGAAACAGAGAGAGAAUGCAGCCCAGGCAGUUUAGAUCCUCACCACAGCCUGUCUAGCAAAUCUCAUUUCUCUAUCUGGGUCUCUUUUUAAAUUUCCUGCAAGAUUUUGUGCUAAUUUUGUGUGUGUUAACAUCUGUGUAGAGGGUGCAUGUGUGUACUGAUGUGUGUGUGAGGGCAUUCCCAGGAACAAAGGGUUCUCUUCAAUGGUGGAAAACAAGAUUGCAUCUAAAUCCCCUCACAAAGACACCACAGCUCUUCCAGCACAUCACCAGGACUGAAACCAUGCCAACUGAGCUUUCAACCAUGCAUUAAAAAUUAGAAUUAAAAUGCAAUACCUUAGGGGUAUUUUCCCCUCUUAUAGUGAAUUAGCUUAGGAGCAAAUAAAAGCCUAAUUAUCUAGGAAAAGGGAUCACGCUUUUCACUCCACAGAGAUUCCAAGGCUGGCCCUAUUCUGUUUGAGAGUUCACAUCACAUGACAAUGAUGAGAGGAUUUGGUGUCACCCAACUGAAUAGCCCUGCCCCAGGUCACUCUUUACCUCCCUGUGUCACUCCUGAGAGAAACGCAUAUGCCUGACAAAGAUGGCCAGGAAUCCAGCAUCACAAGUCUGCUUUUGGUCAACAAGGACAAGAAGGCAUGAUUGUGACUCUAAUUCCACCCUGACCUCAGAUGGGAAAUGUUAUGAACUGUGCAGCAUUGAAAGGGUGAAAACAAGUUAACAGAAAAGGAAUAACAGAAGAGGGUGGAAACAAGUGAACAGAAAAGGAAGGCAAGCUUAGAGGCUGAUGUGGGUUUGGAUGUGUGUCCCCUCCAAAUCUCGUGUUUAAAUGUAAUCCCCAAUGUUGGAGAUGGGGCCUGGUGGGAGGUGAUUAGAUCGUGGUGGUGGAGGGGAGAUCCCCUCAUGAAUGGUUUAGCACCAUCUCCUUGGUGAUAAGUGAGUUCUUUCUCAACUGGUUCACACAAGAUCUAGUUGUUUAAAGUGUGUGGAACCUCCUCCCCUGUCUCUUGCUCCUUUUCUCACUUUGUGAUAUGCCAGCUCCCUUUUGCCUUCCACCAUGAUUAUAAGUUCCGUGAGGCCUCACCAGAAGCCAAGCAGAUGCCAGCACCAUGCUUCUUGUAUAGCCUGCAAAACUGUGAGUCAAAAUAAACCUUUUUGCUAUAUAAAUGACCCAGUCUCAGGUAUUUCUUUAUAGCAAUGCAAGACUGGAUUACUACAAAAAAUUGGUACUGAAGAGUAGGGUGUUGCUAUAAAGACACCUGGAAAUGUGAAGGUGGCUUUAGGACUAGGUGAUGGGCAGAGGUUGAAAGAGUUUGGAGGACUCAGAAGAAGACAGGAAGAUGAAGUAAAGUUUGGAACUUCCUACAGACUGGUCAAAUGAUUGUGCUGAUAGAGAUAUGGACAGUGAAGUCCAGGUUGCUGAGGUCACAGAUGAAAAUAAGGAAGUUAUUGGGAACUGAAGUAAAGGUCACCUGUGUUCCACCCCAGCAAAGAACUUGGCUGCAUUGUGUCCACAUCUUAGGGAUCUGUGGAAGUUUGAACUUAAGAGUGAUGACUUAUGGUAUCUAGUGGAAGAAAUUUCUAAGCAGCAAAAUGUUCAAAAUGUGGCCUGGCUACUUUUAACAACCUAUGACCAGAUAUGGGAGCAAAGGAAAUUAUAUUUAAAAGGGAAGCAGAGCUUAAAAGUUUGGAAAAUUUGCAUCCUGGCCAUGUGGUAGGGAAAGAAAGAGCAUUUUCAGAAGAGGAAUAAAAGCAGGCUGCUGAACAACAACUUGCUAGAGAGAUUAGCAUGACUAAAAAGGAACCAAGGGCCAAUAGCCAAAACAAUGGGAAAAAGGUCUUGAAGGUAUUUCAAAGGUCUUCAAGGCAGCUCUGCCCAUCACAGGCCCAAAGGCCUAGGAGGAAAGAAUAAAGUCAGGGGUCGUUGCCCUGCUCAGCCUUGGGACAUUGCUCCCAGAAUCCUCAUAGCUCUGGCUCUAGCCUCAGCUCAAAAGGCCACAGAUACAGCUUGAGCCACCACUCCAGAGAGCACAAGCCAUAGGCCUUGGCAGCUUCCACAUGGUGUUAAGUAUGCAGGCACAUGGAAUUCAAGAGUGAAGGAGGCUUGGCAGCUUCCACCUAGAGUUCAGAGGAUGUAGGGAAAGCCUGGGUGCCCAGGCAGAACUCUGUCACAGGAGAAGAGCCCCUGAAGAUAGCCUCUGCUAGGCCAGAGUUGGAGGCCCCACACAGAGUUCCCCACAAGGGCACUGCCUAGUGGAGGUAUGGGAAUGGGGCCACCAGCCUCCAGACCUGAGAAUAGUAGAGCCAUGGGCAGCUUACACCCUCAACCUGGAAAAACUGCAAUCACUCAACUCAACCCACGACAGCAGCCUUGAGGGCUGCAUCCUACAAAGCCACAUGGGCAGAGCUGCCCAAGGCCUUGGGAGCCCACUCCUCACAGCAGUGUGUCCUGGAUGUGGGACAUGGAGUCAAGAGUUAUUUUCAAACUUUAAGACUUAACGUCUGCCCUCCUGGGUUUCAGACUUGAGUGAGGCCUGUUGCCUCUUUCUUUUGGCCAAUUCCUCUCUUUGGGGAUAGGAAUAUAUACUCGAUGCCUUUGCCACCAUUGUAUCUAGAAAAUAAAUAACUUUUUUUUAAUCUCACAGGCUUAUAGGUGGAAGGAACUCAUCUCCAGACAAGACUUGGGAUUUGGGACUUGGGAUUUCUGAGUCAGUGCUUGAAUGAGUUAAGACUUUGGGGGACUAUUAUGAAGGCAUGAUUGUAUUUUGAAAGGUGAGAAAAACAUGAGAUUUAGGGGGCCAGAGGUGGAAUGAUACGGCUUGGAUAUUUGUCCCCUCCAAAUCUCAUAUUGAAAUGUGAUUCCCAAAUACUGAACAUGGGGACUGGUGGGAAGCGUUUGGGUCAUGGGGGCAGAUCCCUCAUGAAUGGUUUAGCACCGUCCCCGUGGUGGUAAGUGAGUUCUUGCUCAAUUCGUCAUCGUGAAAUUUGGUUGUUUAAAAGAAUCUGGGACCUCCCUCUUUUUUCUCUCUUGCUCUCACUCUCGCCAUGUGACAUGCUAGCUCCCCUGUCACCUUCCACCAUAACCGGAAGCUUCCUAAGGCCUUCACCAGAAGCCAUGCAGAUGAUGAUGCCAUGAUUUUACAGCUUGCAGAACCUUUAAUAAGAGCCAAUUAAACCUCUUUUCUUUAUAAAUUACCCAGCCUCAAAUAUUUCUUUCUUUUUUUUUUUUUUUCUGAGAUUAAGUCUCACCUUGUCACCCAGGCUGGAGUACGAUGGCGCAAUCUCAGCUCACUGCAACGUCCACCUCCCGGAUUCAAAGGAUUCUCCUGCCUCAGCCUUCUGAGUAGCUGGGCUUACAAUCGCCUGCCACCAUGACCAGCUGAUUUUUCUAUUUUUAGUAGAGGUGGGGUUUCGCCAUGUUGGCCAGGCUGGUCUCAAACUCCUGACCUUGAGAUCUGCCCACGUCGGCCUCCUAAAGUGCUGGGAUUAUAGGCAUGAGCCACUGUGCCCAGCCCAGAUAUUUCUUUAUAGUGACACGAGAAUGGACUAACACAGAGGCACUGAAUGUCAUGCACAGCCUCACACUGGGUGAGCGGUGGGUAGGAUGUGAAUCCACAUCAGUGUGGUUCCUAAGUCCUUAUUCCUCACACUGCACCAGAGGAGAACUUCAUAAGCUAACCUUCAAGUCAAGAUUCUGAUCUCCAUGUUCUUUGACCACUAGCGACAGAGACUCUACCCUUCCUAGGAAUAACUCAAGGUGCUCAGCUCAGAUCUGAACUGGUCCAACCUGUGCCAGCUACUAAGGGCCUAACCCAUAGGAGGUGCAUAAUCAACACUAUUACACAUGAAAAAAAAUUAAAGAGUUCCUGAAGAUAUGCUGCCAAAGAACUUCCAACCCAAUAAUGCUGGUAGAAAAGUGACUACAUUGAGUCUUACCAAGCCCACAAG
rnacentral:lncRNA from 10 species